UGGGGAAUUUUGGACAAUGGGCGCAAGCCUGAUCCAGCAAUGCCGCGUGCAGGAUGAAGGCCUUCGGGUUGUAAACUGCUUUUGUACGGAGCGAAAAGGUCUGCCCUAAUACAGUGGGCUCAUGACGGUACCGUAAGAAUAAGCACCGGCUAACUACGUGCCAGCAGCCGCGGUAAUACGUAGGGUGCGAGCGUUAAUCGGAAUUACUGGGCGUAAAGCGUGCGCAGGCGGUUAUGUAAGACAGAGGUGAAAUCCCCGGGCUCAAUCUGGGAACUGCCUUUGUGACUGCAAGGCUAGAGUGCGGCAGAGGGGGAUGGAAUUCCGCGUGUAGCAGUGAAAUGCGUAGAUAUGCGGAGGAACACCGAUGGCGAAGGCAAUCCCCUGGGCCUGCACUGACGCUCAUGCACGAAAGCGUGGGGAGCAAACA
rnacentral:rRNA from 1 species